UACAGAGGGGGCAAGCGUUGUUCGGAAUUACUGGGCGUAAAGCGCGUGUAGGCGGCCCGGAAAGUCGGAUGUGAAAGCCCUGGGCUUAACCUAGGAAGUGCAUUCGAAACUGCUGGGCUUGAGUUCUGGAGAGGAAGGCGGAAUUCUCGGUGUAGAGGUGAAAUGCGUAGAUAUCGAGAGGAACACCGGUGGCGAAGGCGGCCUUCUGGACAGUGACUGACGCUGAGACGCGAAAGCGUGGGGAGCAAACAGG
rnacentral:rRNA from 1 species